CAGGAAAACAAAGUCAAGGAUGGCACAACAGCAUUAUUGAAAGCAGCCAACAAAGGGUAUAAUGAUGUCAUAAAAGAGUUGCUUAAAUUCUCACCCACUCUUGGUAUUUUGAAGAAUGGGACAUCAGCGCUCCAUGCAGCAGUGCUCAGUGGAAACAUUAAAACAGUUGCGCUGCUCCUAGAAGCAGGGGCAGACCCAUCCCUGAGAAACAAGGCCAAUGAACUUCCGGCAGAACUAACCAAAAAUGAACGUAUAUUGCGUCUCCUGAGAAGUAAAGAAGGUCCCAGAAAGAGCUAACUUAGCUCCAUAUUUGACAGAAAGAUAGAAAGCUUAACCACAUUGUCCAAAAAGAAAUUGCAUUUCAAGCAGUGUUGGAAAUUCUUUUAUGAAAAAAAAAGAUGCCCAGAAUGCCCAUCCUGUGGGUCCCUGACAAAGAAGAGCUACGCUCUGUGCACGAAGUCAAGAACCAAACAGCUCAGGGACCCUCUUGCCCCUUCACCAUGGACUUCUCAUGGUGUCCUGUAACUCAUCUCCCGGGGGGCCUGGCAUGUUCACAGAUUCCACAGAAACUCAUUUUCAACAAUGCUAACUUGGACCUGUCAGUUAAACUCUAAGGUGGACAGGGUUCUCAGUACUAAGCAAGGAGACAGAAUGCUUUGUUCCUUUAAAAGACUGAAAAGCUGACCUUCAAUGGAUUGAGGCACUUUUGCUUUUGUGUUAAAUGUAGAUGUGCUAAAAUAUAUAGAUCUAUCAUAUUUUACCUACAUAUGUAUGUCAUUCCAGUAUAAAACAUUCUCCUCUACCCAAGAACCAUAGCCAUGAUUGUUAUAAAUCAAUGAAGUGUAAACAUACAUUAUUAAAAAACCACUUCUGACAUUCCAUUAUGUGCUAUUCAAAGAUGGACUAUUGAACUAUAGAAAAGACAGACUGUGCAUUUGUUCGUUGAUCCUCAUCUUAUUCCUGACAUGUAAAAAUCAAUUUUACGUAGAGUCAACAUUGUAGGUAGGUUAAAAUACCAGUGGCAAAUUUGGAAAUUCAGAAACUUAUAAACCACGAGAAAUAUAUAGGCUUGUCUCUUUGGUCUUUUAUUUUGGCUCUAUUGUUGGGAAUCUAUUUCCUAUUCUAUAAGUAAGUAUACCUAACAUGCUGUGGAAUCUUGAGUUUCCAACACCGUGCUGCUUGAUAGAAUGACUUUGAGGUCCUUGGAUAAAAUGUGAUAUAUGCAAGUACAGUAUGUUGCUAUUACUAUUGCAGGAAUAUAAAUAAUAAAAGACUGUUAUUAGCACUUAGUAAGUCUUCAUCUAUGCAUGUUUUUGAGUUGACUGAUUCCAAGAAUGAAAUAUGAGGUUUAUUGAAUUAUUCCUUUGAAAGGGAUCAAAACUUAUAUUCAAUGCACUUUAUAAUUAAUGGUGUCUAAAUGCCUCAGUCAGUGCCUAACUGCACAUACAAAAAUAAAACCUUCUUUCUGUAAUCUACCAAAAUAAACGCAAUGGUAUUUCUGCUAUUUAAACACAUCUUUAGCUUAUUUCUUCAUGUUCUGCUCUGGUUUUCAGUCAGUGUCUAUGUAAAGACACUUUUAGAGGAAAAUGUUGUAAUCCCAAAAGAAUUUUUGUUUAACCAACUUUCAGAGUUACUAAAAGGAUUAUCUUUAAUUCAGUAAAUAAUAGAAUAUAAUCUUCAAAAUUAGAAGAUAUUCUCUUAAAAUUUAUAACAAUUAAUGCAACAAAAAUCAGCAUAUUUUGAUAAAUGUCUCAAGCAAAUGAGCAACUCACAGGCCCCACAGGUGCCUACAGCCUGACCAGCUAUACAAAAAGCCUGCAACCUGAUUCUAGGAUAAAAUAUUAGAAAGCUCUCUGUUGCUAAAACAUCCAGAUAUAAACAUUUUGGUGGCUAAAAUCAAUGCCAUUUCCUCAUUGACAUUCUUUUAUUCAGCAAAUUUGUACAAAUAUACAUUUUCUCCUGUGCGAAUUUCAAAAAGCUAUAUUCAUUUUGAAGAGGAAAAUAAUAUGGCAUUAAAUGCUUUGUAUUUUCCCCUUAGUUAGCCCUUAUGGCAAAAAUAGUUGCUAAUCACUGAUACAAAGCAAAACGUUAUGGGUACUGAUAACAAAGUUCCAAAAGCCAAAAUGGGAUGAAUCACAAACUUACUGUUUUUCACUAAAACAUGUAAUUGGCCUAUUACAUCAAUAGUUUUAAGUGGGUAAUGUUCUUGAACAAUAUUAGAGCCAUAAAAUUGAAGCCAGUAGCUUGAACAAUAUGGAGGCCUUCUUACUGUAGGGAAGAGGUGUCUAGCUUAGAAGGAUCACAUUUGAUCUAGAUGAGAUUACCCAUAGCAGGGAAAAUGAAUCAUCACCUACCAAAGACUGUACGGAAAGGUGUGUUAUUUUCAAAAUUGCAUUUUAGUUUGCACACAUGUAAAUGAUUAUUCUAUGUUAAUCUAAUUGACAAUUCAGUUAGCUCCGCAUCCUAAGACUUAAAACUAGCAAUUCCUAUGCAAAUCAUCUGCUUAACUGAACUACAAACGUUUUUCAUUAAUUCAUUCUUUGAUGACAUAUUCCAUGUUAUAUAAUAAUUCAAAAUAAAGUUAAUAUACUACCCC
rnacentral:lncRNA from 10 species